rnacentral:rRNA from 1 species
CCUACGGGAGGCAGCAGUGAGGAAUAUUGGACAAUGGGCGCAAGCCUGAUCCAGCCAUGCCGCGUGCAGGAAGACGGUCCUAUGGAUUGUAAACUGCUUUUGUACAGGAAGAAACACUCCCUCGUGAGGGAGCUUGACGGUACUGUAAGAAUAAGGAUCGGCUAACUCCGUGCCAGCAGCCGCGGUAAUACGGAGGAUCCAAGCGUUAUCCGGAAUCAUUGGGUUUAAAGGGUCCGUAGGCGGUUUAAUAAGUCAGUGGUGAAAUCUGGUCGCUCAACGAUCAAACGGCCAUUGAUACUGUUAGACUUGAAUUAUUAGGAAGUAACUAGAAUAUGUAGUGUAGCGGUGAAAUGCUUAGAUAUUACAUGGAAUACCAAUUGCGAAGGCAGGUUACUACUAAUGGAUUGACGCUGAUGGACGAAAGCGUGGGGAGCGAACAGGAUUAGAUACCCUGGUAGUCCCACGACCGUAACGAUAGAUACUAGUACUGUUGGGUCGGCGAAGUUACGUAGUAGGUCGUAAGACGAAGUAGAGUAAGUAAGUACCGACCGUACGGGAGGUAACGGUUCGUCGAAGAAGUAGUUAAACGUUAACGUAAGUUAAGUUAGUUAGACGGACGAGAGAGACGACGACGACGACGACGGAGGAGGAGG